UUUGUUUCCACAAAGUUUGAAUUAUUUUCUUCACUUCAUUUGAGAAAUAUAGGUGGAUUGAGAGACAUUCUUCAUUCAAACAAAAGUUUAACAGCUAUUUCUAAAACACAUAUCAUCUGAAGCUAUGGAAGUAGUUUGUGACUGUUUUGUUUCCACAAAGUUUGAAUUAUUUUCUUCACUUCAUUUGAGAAAUAUAGGUGGAUUGAGAGACAUUCUUCAUUCAAACAAAAGUUUAACAGCUAUUUCUAAAACACAUAUCAUAUGUGCACUGCGAGUCCUCGAACAGCUCCACGCGUCUCCAGCUCUGCCCAAGCCCGAGCCACGCGACGGGCUGUGAUCGCGCACGGACCAGACGAGAGCUCUUCAACUGUGUGAUCCAAAUGAAUUUGAGAACACCUAUUUACUGCUCCGCCCUGUGUCCUGCUGGCCAGAAGUGCCCAUCAAUUUCAAAGGCCUCUGUGUGACUGGAUUGAGGAAGCCAAGAGCAGGGAGAAGAAUAGAUCCAGGUCUUCCCAUUACUCCAAAAUGGAGCCUAGCCCUCUGGCAGCACAGUCGGCCAGCUGGGACCACGGUGGCCAUUACUGGAAGUGUGAUCAUCUGCCCUCUCUCCUCAGUGCCCUUGGAAUAUGUGCUCUUCUGUCUGGCUUCAAUUUCUCUUACUUCUUUGUGUGUGAAGAGUCUUCCUUUCAAUCAGCAAACUCUUCCUGCACACUAUAAAGCCCACUUUGGUCUUCAGAAUCUUUCAGUGCCUGAGCUUGUCAGUAUGAGGUUUCUCUUUCUUUAUUUCCAAAUGUCCUGCUUUCUUUGUGUGCAACUUCUUAAGAAUUUGGCAAAGUAAACAACAAAGCAGCAAUAUUUCAUAGGGUUUAAACUUCCCUUUGGUCCUGGAUAGAAAGGAUUUUUUUUUUUUUUUUGAGACGGAGUUUUGCUCUUGUAGCACUGGCUAGAGUGCAAUGGCGCAAUCUUGGCUCACUGCAACCUCUGCCUCCUGGGUUCAAGGGAUUCUCCUGCCUCAGCCUUCCGAGUAGCUGGGAUUACAGGCACCCACCACCACGCUGGCUAUUUUUUUUGUAUUUCUCAGGAGAGACAGCAUUUCACCAUGUUGGUCAGGCUGGUCUCGAACUCCUGACCUCAGGUGAUCCACCCACCUUGGCUUCCCAAAGUGCUGGGAUUAUAGGCCUGCCACCUGGAUCUAUUCUUCUCCCUGCUCCUGGCUUUUUCAAUCCAGUCACAAAGAGGCCUUUGAAAUUGAUGCCUGCCACCACACCUGGCAGAAAGGAUGUUUUUGUUUCUUCUUUUUCCUGUUCCUUUCUCUGCAAUCAUCUCUCUGAGUCUCAGACAUGUGGCACUGGUUGGCUGGCAGCACCUUCUGUGUGUCUGAGCCCUUACAUAGCUUCCAGAGGAAGGGGUGCUCCGUUGGGGUCCUGCCUGCUUUUGGAGCAUUAGAAUCUCCUUUUUUGCAAGCCUCUGUCUCCCAUCAUUUAACACCCAGCUGUGUCUCUCUGCCCACUGACCAGAAUCUUUUCGCAGUAGGUGGGUUUUAAAAAGCACUCACCAGAACUCCCAAAUGCUAGGGUCUCAUGGCCCCUCAAAAACUCAUUACCUUCUCUUUGGGAUCCUCAGACCUGGCAGGAACCUCACAUAGGAAGAAAGGCAGCCAGGGAGCAGGCAGUGAGGACAGGUUGUAAUCAGGCAGUUCUGGCUGGGCAUAAAGUCUGCUCCUGCUGAAGGCAAGCUGCUCAACACUGCACUGGACAUCCUCCAUGUGUGGAAUCUAGGCAAAGCAGCUCUGUCCUCUAUUAACAAAUAACUGAGCCUGGGCAAUCUGUUACUUCAACUGUCCUUUCAAGCCAGGCUUUGCAGUAACAGGAAUUUGAGGUCCAGCAUGCAGAGACAGACCUAAGUGUGAGCCUCUGCUACUUAUGAGCUGUGUGACCUGGGGCAAAUUACUUAACCUCUCUAUACCCUAUUCCCUUCACUUGUGCAAUAAGAAUAAAUAAUACCACACACUUCGGAGGCAUGGCGUAAGACUCAAAUGACUAAUAUAGGGAUAGUUCAGGGGCAGAUACACGGUUGGAAAGCACACUAGAAAUAUCAGUAGAAUCUGAAUUUUCCCCUACCUGCCUCCUUGUUUUCACUACAAAUAACAUUUCCUUUCCUGCUUUUAAGUCAAGAGGGGAACACACUGAUUCUUUAGCAGACAGUUUAGCACACACUUCAAGCCAGAGAGUGUACCAGCAAUGUGGAUUCAGAAAUAAAUAUGAUGGGAGCCCUGCUCUCACAGGAUGGGGUUGGGGGUGGGGGAUAAAGUCCCAAGGGAGUUGGACAGUCUCCAGAUGGGUAGUCACUGCUGGGCAGAAACACAUGAGGGAAGUGUCAGGAGCCCGAAAGAAGCUCUGAACAGGUUGGAACACGUUUUCUGGAGGAUGGGACAUUGAAACUGAAUCACCUACAAUGUUGAAGGCAGAUGGUAACCUAAGAAAGCCUAGUCCCAGAGGAAAUGCAAGUUCACUGAAAUCUAAGGGGGGAAAAAAGACACGAAAAACCAACAAGUGCAAAGCAGUGUGGUGCAGAAUGUGGUGGCAGAGCAACAACCACUCUCAGCAAAAUCCUCAUUAAUUCAUGCCACAAAGAAGCCAACUGCUGGUUCUCCACUCUGAAUGAUCAUCGCUUCCCAUUUGGAAGACAAAGAUGGUUACUGGCCUUGGCAUAUUAACCCUGGAGCUGCCUCCUCAGGAAGUGAAGAGUUGGGCUUGGCUGGCUGGUAUAGCAGCAGCGACAGCAGCAGAGACAGCAUGGCCUGCUCAGAAGGGGCGCCCUAGUUGCCAAGGAUGAGGGCACUGGCUUUGCACUCUUUGAGACUGGGGCUUUACCUAACAAACACUUGCAAAACUUAUUACCCCUCCAGUCCUCAAGUUUCCUUGUACCUAUAGAAUAGGAAUGUUAAAACUUACUUCACACAACUGUUUUGAGGAUGAAUUGGCUAUUUGAAAACUUGGGCACUGGAAGAAGUCCAGUGAAGGACAGUGUCACUUCCGCUGUUCACCCUUUCAUGCUUAAUUAACAUUUAAUUAAUCAAAUAUGUUGUUUCUUUUUGUAUUUUUUUAACUGAGAUAAAUGUAGAUUUACAUAUAGUUGUAGAAAUAAUACAGAAUUAUCCCGUGUACCCCUUACCUAGUUACCCCCAAUGGUAACAUCUUGCAAUAUUAUACCACAAUGUCACAACCAGGAUAUUCAGAUAGAUGUCAUCCACUGAUCUUACUCAAAAUUCACUCAUUUUCCAUACAGUCCUUUGAUUGUGUGGUAGUUCUGUGAAAUUUCAUCCCAUCUGUAGUUUUCAUGUAAUCAUCGCCACAGUCAAGGCACAGAAUGCUUCACUUCCAUCACUAUAAGGAACCCUUGUGUUGCCCUUUUAUAACCACACCCACUUCUCUCCUGUCUCCCAAACUCCAUCUCUAAUCCCUGUUAACCACUGAUAUGUUCCUUACUUACACAAUUUUAUCAUUUCAAGAAAGUUACAGAUAUUGAAUCACAUAGUAUGUAACCUUUUAGGAUUGGUGUUUUUCACUCAGCAUUAUUCCCUGGAGAUCAUCCAAGUUGUUGCACGAAUGAUUUGUUUCUUUUAUUGCUGGGGAGUAGUCUAUGGUAUGGAUGUAUCACAGUUUAAUUAUUCGCCCCUUGAAGGACAUUUGGGUGGUUUCUAGUUUCUGGCUAUUGUAAAUGAAACUGUGAUGAACGUUUGUGUACAGGUUUCUGUGUGAACACAAGUUUUCAUUUCUCUGGGAUAAAUGCCUGUGAGUGCAACUGCUGGGUCAUAUGGCAAUUGCAUGUUUAGUUUUACAAGAAACUGCCAAACUGCUUUCCAGAGUGGCUGUGCCAUUUUAAAUUCCCUCCAGCAAUUAUAAGAGGUGCAGUUUCUCGGCAUUCCUUCCAAAAUUUGAUGGUGUUGCCAUUUUUUAUCUUAGCCAUUUUGGCAGGUGUGUAGUAAUAUCUUAUUGUGGGUUUUACGUUGCAUUUCCCUAAUUGUUAAUGUUGUUAAAUAUUUUCUCAUGUGCUUAUCCGCUAUCUGUGUAU
rnacentral:lncRNA from 10 species